AUGCUAUUUUGAAACUUAAAAAUAAUCAUACUUAUUUUCAAUGAGACAUGACUGUGGAAACGCCUGAUCCUACUGACAAUGAGUUUGGCCUUUUCUUUUUGCAGCACCGAGUGUUUCUGCGGGCACAACAGACCUCCACUUGCGGUGAAGCGACCUGAUCAGGAGUGCUCCUUGCCGUGCAGCGGUAGCAACAAUCAGAAAUGCGGGGAUAAGAACAAGUUGAGCAUUUAUCAAACUCGAGUACCAGGGAUCGGAUCUGUUCCAAAAGGAUUUUACGUUGGCUGCUUCGCUGAAAACCCAUUUCCGGAUUUGCAACAAAGUUUUAAAGAGCUCACUCCACAGCGCUGCUCCGAGUUUUGCUUCAAGCGUGGUUUUAAGCUUUCUGGUGUCCAAGGGUAAGUGCUUUUCAAACACUGACACGAAAUUUGACUUUUCAGUUUGAAAUAUUUCAGGAUGAUAAGUAAUAGGGCUACC
rnacentral:lncRNA from 1 species